rnacentral:rRNA from 1 species
AUUGAACGCUGGCGGCAGGCCUAACACAUGCAAGUCGAACGGAGUGGCGGACGGGUGAGUAAUGGCUGGGAAACUGCCUGAUCGAGGGGGAUAACUAAUGGAAACGGUAGCUAAUACCGCAUACUAUCAGAUGAGCCUUGGUCGGAGUAGCUAGUUGGUGGGGUAAAGGCCUACCAAGGCGACGAUCCGUAACUGGUCUGAGAGGAUGAUCAGUCACACUGGAACUGAGACACGGCCCAUGCUCCUACGGGAGGCAGCAGUGGGGAAUAUUGGACAAUGGGCGAAAGCCUGAUCCAGCAAUGCCGCGUGUGUGAAGAAGGUCUUCGGAGUUUAAAGCCCUUUAAGUUGUGAGGCGUUAUCAACAGAAUAAGCACCGGCUAACUACGUGCCAGCCGCCGCGGUAAUUC